UUUUUUUUUUAUAAAGAGCACGUAAAUAGAAAAAAUAUAUACGAUCUAAAUUAUUACCACAAUUAUUGAGCUUUCUAUAAGCUUCCUAUUUCUCUAUUAGUAACUAUUUUAUUUAUGUAUAAUUAUCACGGCACUAUACCCGCUGGGGGUCGUCCUUCCCCCUGUAACCGGAUCGUUUAUUGAGUUUUCAAUACAUAUCGCGCGGGUCAUCGGUGGCACGACAAUUCCGCGCCAGCCGGGCCCUUACAAGAACGCUUUUAAC